GAGAAGGUCUCCCCCUACAAUUGAACUGAAUGAGAACAUUGGCCAACAAGGUGAAAAGCAGAAGAUGGACUCAUCUAAAGUUGAUCAAAAUAUUGCCCAUACACCUACUGUGAAGAGAAGUUCAAGAUUCAGAGGAGUUAGCAAGUAGUACUAAAUUAAAAAUGUUGAGGACAUUUUCUGGUCCCUUUUCCCCCUUUUGAGUUAUAUAGGUUUAAGAAACUAAUUCUUGAUUACCUUGGAUUUUAGGCAUCGAUGGACGGGGCGUUAUGAGGCUCAUUUGUGGGACAAGAGUUCUUGGAAUGUAACUCAGAAAAAGAAAGGAAAACAAGUAUAUCUUGGUGAGUACUGCACUUGGUGCUAUAGAUCAAUAUUUGAUUCAAGAAUUGAAUUUUGGGUGAUAAAAAAAUUUACUUGUAUGUUAUGUUUUAAAUUGUGCAGGAGCAUAUGAUGAAGAAGAAUCUGCAGCAAGAGCAUAUGAUUUGGCUGCAAUCAAGUACUGGGGUACAUCAACUUUCACUAAUUUUCCGGUAUGAUCACCUCAGCUGACUCAAAACUUGUGUAUACUUGCUAUUUUCAUAGUCCUUUUGCUUUUAAUUCUUUCUAUUUGAUUGAAAAUUCUGUCUUAAACUCUUUCCUACAGAUAUCUGAUUAUGAGAAAGAAAUUGAAAUAAUGCAAACUGUGACUAAGGAGGAGUACUUAGCCUCUUUAAGAAGGUAUUUGUUCAACUUGAUUUUCAAUCAGAUAAAGACAAUCUUUUCAUCAAAAACACAAAACUUACCGUAGUUUUUUGCUGUUCUAAUGCAGGAGAAGCAGUGGUUUCGCCCGGGGUGUAUCUAAAUACAGAGGAGUAGCAAGGUAAAUAAAUUCAUUUCACCUUGAUAAUCAAGGCCACUGUUCUAAAACUUUACUAUAUGUUGAUCAUAAUUAGUAACAAAAGAUUUUGCAUUGAUACAACUUGCAGGCAUCAUCACAAUGGCAGAUGGGAAGCAAGAAUAGGUAGAGUUUUCGGUAACAAAUACCUCUACUUAGGUACUUACAGUAAGUACUUUCACCCCAUAAUUUUGAGAACUGAUCAAAUCAAGACUGUUAAAACAGGCUGCCAACUCGAAUCUUGUGUUUGUUUUUGUAGGCACUCAAGAGGAAGCAGCUCGAGCUUAUGACAUUGCUGCAAUUGAAUACAGAGGGAUUAAUGCUGUGACUAACUUUGACUUAAGCACCUAUAUUAGAUGGCUAAAACCAGGUGCCAAUUCUCAGAUGUCAUUCCAAGACAUAAGAUCAGAAAAUCAGGCUAUACAAAUGAACACUAACGAUAUGAUUAACCCGAUAAAUGAUCCUAAAUUCCCCUUCAGCUCCAAUUAUUUUACCACAACUAGAGAAACUCUGCCGCCUAUUCCUCAGAGCCAAGAACCUAUUGAAAGAAAAAUGCCCUUAAGUCCGUGCAACAAGUCGUCUUCCCCUACAGCUCUCAGCCUUCUGCUUCGCUCCUCCAUGUAUCGUGAGCUUGUGGAGAAGAAUUCUACCACUACUGCUAGUGAAAAGGAAGGGCCAAACAUGAAGAAUAAAAUACAAACAAACACAGAAGAUGAGUUUGUGUUUUACACAAGUGAUAAGUUGCCUCCAUUGGAGUCUUUGGAGAAGGGUACUUCUUCUCGUCUGUGUGAUAGAGCAGGGCAGUCCUUUUGGAAUGCGAUGCCUUAAAUUACUUAACAGUUUAACAAUUUGCAGUGAAGAAUAACUGAAACUUGGUAGUCAUCUAGGAAUAGAUGAGAAGUAGUUUCAUCAUAUGAGAUAGGACUGUACAUAAAAUGAACAGAGAGUGAAAAUCUCUCUUUUUGCAAAGAAAUCAGAUCUAUCAAAUGCUUUUGGACUUGAGAGAUACAAAGUUGCAAUUUCAAAGAAUGGAUUACGAGUAUUGGCCUGCAUUCAACAAUAAUUGAGUUUUAAUUAUAUGCACUAAUGGUGUAAAAGAUAUUUGCACAACUAAGUAACUUAAAAGGCAAUUUUACGUGAUCUCCCAUAAUUAACAUUUAUUGAUAACCUUGAAUAUUGUAUUGCGAUCGGGAAGCUAUUUGCAGGUUUCAAACUAUUGGUAGCACUGCUUGAAAUAUCAUUGUUCAACAACUCUCAUUCUAUUCGUAGACUUUAUUGCUGAAUCGUGAUUCAUGAAUAACAUAGAAAAAGAUACCCCACUACACAACUAAAGAGGAACCAUCGACCUCUAAUAAUUAUCAAGAUACAGGCUAAUGACAGGGGCCUAUUCCCUUUUCUAUCUAAAGACAACAGACAUUCCUAAAGAAACUACAAACACAAAAUAGAGCUUGUUGUCUGUAUGUUUUCACUACUAGAAGGCUGAAGGUAUCUAGGAUUUUCAGAUCAUAGUAAACAUAUGAAUAGAGAAAAAUUUAUGUGACACGAGCUGUUCAAGUGGGAAAGAGUUCAAACAGCUAGCAGCAGGCUUAGCCUGGCUGUAUCAUGCCUUCUUCUUUUUGGACUUGAGCAUUACAUAUCCAAUAAACAUGCUCAGCAAGCAGAUGAGUGCCAUUCCAGCAAAUACAGGAAUAAGAAUCGCAUACUCUUGAGGUAGAAAAUAGUUGUGCACAAAAUGAUCAGUAUCAACCAAUGGCUGAAAGAGAAAAAGCAUAUAUCAACCCCAUAUAAUAACGUAGGUCGCAAAAAGUCACUACAUCAGGGCAAGAUAGAAGAACUGACCAGAAUGAUGACCCAGAAGGUAUAAUAUGUGAAAAUAAACAAACUAGUUACUGUCAAAAGCAGCCCAAUCGUUCUGUCUGCUAAUUCCAUCGUGACUCUUUUGCUUGUGCAGACUCUAAAUGUGGAAUGCCAAAUUAAAUUACAAAGAAAAACACGGAGGCAAAACAAAAUCACUGCCCUAGGCAGAAGUAUGUAAAUGAAUUCCAAAGAAAUGAAAGCAGGAAAAGCAAACAGAGAGAAGGGGGAGGGAAUGCACAUGGAACACUCAAGAUGUGACAUUACACGACCAAACGUUAUGCAUCAUUCAAGACAAUACAGAUGACAUACAUUCUUUCUCAAGAACAGAACUGUAAGACCAACUCAGUAGCUGAAAAGUUGAAUAUCCCUCUGAUGUACCAAAGAAUACAAUGAUUGCUGAUGAAAAAGCACUACUAAUCCACUAUAUGUUUAGCUACCUUAUAAUUUCCAACUAUUUACCUGGUUUUAUUGCACCAAUGCACAAUAUAUGACUUAAUUACCCUUGGUAUCUAUACAAUCAUAUAUUUCCAAGAAAACUGCCAAAACCACAUAGCAGUCCUCUAUCCAGACCACACAAAAAUUUUAACAACAAAGAGGAGAGGAGUGACGUUUCAAUAACAAAAUGUUCCCAAUAAAAACAAAUCUGGAAAGAAACAUACCAGCUCCAGGAGAAAAAGGGAUAGAACUGAAGAAACCCGAAAAUAUUAGACCUAGUUUAUAUUUCUCAGAAUGUAAUGGUUUGUCUACCAAGGUGCACAUCUAUGCUUUUAUAGUGCUGGUAGCCUAAAGCAUGAUGGUGCUACCUCUUAAUAUCUGUGAGAGUAUAAGGUGUAUUUACAUCAGCAUAUCAUGCUAAUAGGUAUGUGUUUCCUUCUGGUACCAUCACCGUAUAUUUUGCAAACAAAUAUUUGACCCAAACACGUGAAUCUUGUUUCAAUAAUCUCCAAAGUCGCACAUACACAUCCAAAUGUGUGACCUAGUGGUCAAUGAAGUGGCUCGGACACCACGGUUAUAAAAAGAAUCGCACAUACAGUAGUUUCAUUUGAAGCAACACUUAAGGAGAUUAGGGAGCACUUAAAGAGAUUGACAGUCUACUCUAUGAUCCUCUAUGCUAGCUACACAAAUAAGGAGGAAAUUAUCGGAUAUUAAAGCUAAAAUAAUUACAUAAACGCUGGACAUCAGCAUACAGCUGUAAAAUAAAUUCAGAUUGCACUUACCUACGCGAUUAGCCUGAAAACUGAGAAACAAACAACGUAAAUGCUACAAAUUAAUCAGAAAAUUCAAAGGCGCAAAUAUAUGCAUUGAAGAGGUUUUCGCUGAUAGGCAAAAAACAUUAUACACACAAACAUCGAUUAUCCCCAUAAACGAACUUCAAUUCCUUAAUUUUCACGGUAAGUUCCAAUAUUUCACAUUUAAGGGAGAAAUUACCUUGAAUUUUUUAUUAUUUGGCGUUAAAUACUUUCGUUUCAGAGCACGAAGAUCGUUAUCAUCUUCCAAAUCGACAUUGAUUCCUUUGUGCUUCCAUUAGUUUCAUUAGUUCUCUCUUGAGAGCUUCAGAGAGGAGAAUCCUGAAUAAAUGGGCCAUCAGCUUUUUCUCAUAUGGGCCAAAAUGAAAGAUGG
rnacentral:lncRNA from 1 species